rnacentral:rRNA from 1 species
GACGAACGCUGGCGGCGUGCUUAACACAUGCAAGUCGAACGGAAAGGCCCUGCUUUUGUGGGGUGCUCGAGUGGCGAACGGGUGAGUAACACGUGAGUAACCUGCCCUUGACUUUGGGAUAACUUCAGGAAACUGGGGCUAAUACCGGAUAGGAGCUCCUGCUGCAUGGUGGGGGUUGGAACGUUUCGGCGGUUGGGGAUGGACUCGCGGCUUAUCAGCUUGUUGGUGGGGUAGUGGCUUACCAAGGCUUUGACGGGUAGCCGGCCUGAGAGGGUGACCGGCCACAUUGGGACUGAGAUACGGACCAGACUCCUACGGGGGGCAGCGGUGGGGAAUAUUGCACAAUGGGCGGAAGCCUGAUGCAGCAACGCCGCGUGCGGGAUGACGGCCUACGGGUUGUAAACCGCUUUCGCCUGUGACGAAGCGUGAGUGACGGUAAUGGGUAAAGAAGCACCGGCUAACUACGUG